rnacentral:rRNA from 1 species
CUACGGGAUGCAGCAGUCGAGAAUAUUCGACAAUGCACGAAAGUGUGAUCGAGCGACGCCGCGUGCGGGAUGAAUGCCUUCGGGUUGUAAACCGCUUUUAUAAGGGAAGAACUUAGGUGACGGUACCUUAUGAAUAAGGAGUUGCUAACUACGUGCCAGCAGCAGCGGUAAUACGUAGACUCCAAGCGUUAUCCGGAUUUAUUGGGCGUAAAGGGUGUGUAGGCGGAUAUGAUAGUCAGGUGUUAAAUCGCAGAGCUCAACUCUGCGGCCGCACUUGAAACGUCAUAUCUAGAAACAGGUAGAGGUUAGCGGAACUCAUAGUGUAGCAGUGAAGUGCGUUGAUAUUAUGGGGAACACCAAAGGCGAAGGCAGCUAACUGGGCCUUGUUUGACGCUGAGGCACGAAAGCGUGGGUAGCGAAUGGGAUUAGAUACCCUUGUAGUC